CGCUUAACAUUUUCAUAUUUCACCCAAUUACUCUUCCCCCCAAAACUAGGGCUAUUCCAGUGCCUCCCAUCUCAGACUACACUUCACAUUUUGCAAAGCUAGGAUUACUCCUGUCUCAGACCACCGUCCACCGUCCACCGUCGACCAUCUAUUGUCAUUUGUUUCUCUCCACACCGUUUGUUUGUUGGCUUCCUUGCUGUGACGCUCGCCCCUCGACACACUCGACCGUCACUUGUUUGUUUUUGUCCAAAAUAUCAGCACUUGUACCAGUGGCUCGUAUCUCGACAUGUACCAGUGCCUCCCUACUCACAGCACAGACCUUGGUCUAUCGUUUGUAUUCUGGCCAAACCAUCAGAAUCUGCCACCUCAAUAAAUAGAGGCAUAUGUACCAAAACACCCCCUGAGGCGCUGGCUCAUAUUCGGUUAGUUGUUGCUUUUGUAGAAUAACGAUUUUAUUGUUCAAUUAAUGUUCUUCCACAGGCAUUUAAAGAAAGAGAUCCUUCAUGCUUGUCUUAUUGCUCGGCUCUUUUAUACCUAAAGUUAUUGAGUUCAAAAUACUUUUGUAUGGUUACCAUUCUUUACAAACACAUCGAGUAGCGCAUGCAUUGUGGAACCAAUGGCGCAAGGUGUUGGCUCUUGCACUACAAAGUCGAGUUAGCGAGGUAUUUGGAGUCGAUAUUCAUCCAGGUAUUGUUUCAAAAAUGAUUUCUUAACAUAAAUACUAUAUUUUUAUUGGAUUUUACCAAUAACUGUUUCUCUUUUGUGUUCACGGCUGCCAAAAUCGGGGAGGGGAUAUUAUUGGAUCAUGGAACGGGCUUGGUUAUUGGAGAAAUUGCCGUUAUUGGGGAUAGAGUUUCACAAAUGCAGGGUGUAACUUUGGGGGAAUUGGGAAUAUUAAAAUUGGUGAAGGUGCAAGGAUUGCUUUCGGUUCUCUUGUUCUUAAGGAUGUUACAAAUUUCUGGGCACGUGUGAUUGUACAACUUUUUAGGCUCAAGUUAUGCGAACCCGAAUGGUUGAUCUUGAAGCUCGGGUUGAAGAAGAAAGGAAUAUACUUGCAUCUCGUCUUGAAGAAGAAAAGAAUCUACUUGCAACUCGUCUUGACGAAGAAAGGAAGCAAGGGAAGAACUUCAAAAACAACUUCAAGAAUUUACGAUAAAUUGGCGUGCUCCCUCUAGUUAGUUGUAGUUUUUAAUAUCUUUUUGGAAUUACAUUGACUUGUAUUAGCUUAUGGUUUAAACGUAUUGGAUCUUGCGUUGUGACGCAUGAUUUUUGAAUUUAUGUCAUUGUAACGUUGGUGAAUUUUGUAAAACAAGUUUUUAGUA